UCCUACGGGAGGCAGCAGUGGGGAAUAUUGCACAAUGGGCGCAAGCCUGAUGCAGCAACGCCGCGUGAGGGAAGACGGCCUUCGGGUUGUAAACCUCUUUUAGUAGGGAAGAAGCGAAAGUGACGGUACCUGCAGAAAAAGCACCGGCUAACUACGUGCCAGCAGCCGCGGUAAUAGGAC
rnacentral:rRNA from 1 species